GUACACUCCUGCGGGAGGCAGCAGUGGGGAAUUUUGGACAAUGGGCGAAAGCCUGAUCCAGCAAUGCCGCGUGAGUGAAGAAGGCCUUCGGGUUGUAAAGCUCUUUUGUCAGGGAAGAAACGGUGAGAGCUAAUAUCUUUUGCUAAUGACGGUACCUGAAGAAUAAGCACCGGCUAACUACGUGCCAGCAGCCGCGGUAAUACGUAGGGUGCAAGCGUUAAUCGGAAUUACUGGGCGUAAAGCGUGCGCAGGCGGUUUUGUAAGUCUGAUGUGAAAUCCCCGGGCUCAACCUGGGAAUUGCAUUGGAGACUGCAAGGCUAGAAUCUGGCAGAGGGGGGUAGAAUUCCACGUGUAGCAGUGAAAUGCGUAGAUAUGUGGAGGAACACCGAUGGCGAAGGCAGCCCCCUGGGUCAAGAUUGACGCUCAUGCACGAAAGCGUGGGGAGCAAACAGGAUUAGAAACCCGUGUAGUCC
rnacentral:rRNA from 1 species